rnacentral:misc_RNA from 1 species
GAUGAAGAACGCAGCGAAAUGCGAUACUUGGUGUGAAUUGCAGAAUCCCGUGAACCAUCGAGUCUUUGAACGCAAGUUGCGCCUCAAGCCAUUAGGUUGAGGGCACGUCUGCCUGGGCGUCACAUAUCGUUGCCUGAUGCCAGUUUCCUCGUGAUGGGUGACUGUGCAGGACGAAUGAUGGCUUCCCGUGAGCAUUGUUGCCUCAUGGUUGGUUGAAAAUUGAGUCCUUGGUAGGGAGCGCCGUGAUAGAUGGUGGUUGAGUGACGAACGAGACCCAAUCAUGUGAGACCCCUACCGAAUUUGGCCUUCAUGACCCACAUGCGUCUUUGGAACGCUCAUGACGAGACCUCAGGUCAGGCGGGGCUACCCGCUGAGUUUAAGCAUAUCAAUAAGCGGAGGA